AGAGGAGUAAAAAGUCAUUUCAGUCUGGCUAUCUUCCAUGUUGAUUCUUGCUGAGUUCUAAAUAUAAUAAAUUCAUAUUCAACAUCCAUAGCUUUUCACAUGGUAUGUAAACGAUAUUUAGAAAACAUAAAUCAUUAGAAGGGAUGAUUAAAUAAAAAAAAUCCUCAGAAGCACUAAGAUUAUUUCAAAGUGUUGUGGACCAUAAAUAACAAGGCAUUUCUAGAAGUUGGGCAUUUGGAGAGGAGAGUUAGAGUAGAAAUGUCAUUCUUGGAUUAGGACAACCUUUUCAAUAUUAACAAUAGUUAGCAACCCACUGUAUUUUGUGCCAAGCUUACAGAUGGAACAUGAUUUAUUCAUUUCCUGAAGUAUUGCUUAGGGAAGUGGCCAUUUGUGGUUGUACCCACAAGUUUUAUGAGAGCUUUUAGGGACUGAGUUUGGAGAAGUUACAGGUGUUUGGGGAAUGGCUGUGGGUCUCAUCCAAUUAGGACUAAUGUUCUCUGCAGACGUGGUUACCUCUGAUGCCUGGCAAAGGAGAAAAUUCAAAAUAGCUCUUAGAAAAAAAAAUCACUUAAUUUCAUCUGAAGGCAAGAGGAUCAGCUUCCACGAUCCCACGGAGCCUCUGAAUAUGACUCUUCCUGUAUCUGCAAUCACUCUCAGUUACUGUGAGGGAAUCGAUUUGUUUUGAGUGAGUUUUUAAAAUUAAUGAAACUAAUCAUAUCACUUUCCAAACGUACACAAGACUGAGUUACUGAAACAAGGAAAUGGAUUUGUAGACAAUCUGAACAGCCAGGGAGUUGCUUAAAACAGAGCAGUGUUUUCUACUCAGCAACGUAGAUUUACUCCAUCGUGAGCCUGGCCUGACACCCUCCUUCGGGAAUAUGUCUGGUUUAUUGCUGUGAAGACAGUGCGACCUUUUCAGACUCUGAGGUCACCGAGGAAAUGGCUGACUAGGUGUGUGGAGUAAGGGUUCUUUACAUGGAGCAUUCAAGUGGAGGGAAAUGGAAUUUAUAAAGGAAACAUUAAAAUGUUUCUGUGACAGUUAUUAAAUUGAUUUAUUAAAAUUGAAUAGCUAAAUACUAAUAAUUGAAAACAUCAGUUCUUAUAAAUGCUAGGGGUACAAAAAGAUAUUACAGUGCUGAGCUUUUAGUUUAUCACAUUUUUUGAAA
rnacentral:lncRNA from 1 species